GUUGGUGUCUGUAAAACUCGAGAAAUUGCUGGAAGCUUUCAGUUUCCUAUAAUUGGGGUGCAUCACAUGGAGGCUCAUACUAUGGUAGCGAGGUUGACUCAUAGAAACCUGCAGUUUCCCUUCAUGGCACUGCUUAUUUCAGGAGGACACAAUCUUCUAAUUCUUGCACGUGAUCUGGGCCAUUACAUACAACUUGGAACAACCAUAGAUGAUGCCAUUGGUGAAGCAUAUGACAAAACAACAAAGUGGCUUGGUUAAGAUAUGAGGAGGAGUGGUGGUCCUGCUAUAGAGGAGCUUGCUCGAGAAGGUGAUCCUGUAUCUAUAAGAUUCAAAAUGCAUGUCUUUUUUUUUUUUCGUGAACGUUUCUCAAGUCACAUUUAUUGGCCUGCAUACAUAUGGUUUUCCAAAUAUUAUUUUAUUGGACUGUUUUAUCACCAGUUCUAUCUUCUGUUAGACUCCAAUGCAACACCACAAGGAUUGCAACUUUUCGUUUGCUGGUCUGAAGACUCAAGAGAAGUUGGCAAUUGCAUCAAAAGACAUGUAAGCAUCUGCAUCUGCUAGGAGCAAGGGUGGUCGUUACUUGUUUAUAUUAAGUUAACCUGUAUACAGAAAAAGAUAGGCAUCCUAAUUUUUCCUA